rnacentral:lncRNA from 1 species
GCUGACACAGGAGAAUCGCUUGAACCUGGGAGGCAGAGGUUGCAGUGAGCCGAGAUCACACCAUUGCAUCCCAGCCUGGGGGACAAGAGUGAGACUUCAUCUCAAAAAAACAAAAGCAAAAACAAAAUAGAUAAAUAGAUCCAACAUCCAGGAGGUGUUGACUCUCAUACCUAGAACCUGGACAUGUAUGGAAUUUCUAAUCUCAUUCCUGGACUUUCCUGCAGGUGUGAUUGUGUGCAUCUGCUAAGCACCUUAGUGAUUUGAGUUUCCUGCCUUGACCCAGUCCACAGAUAAGAUUGUGACAUAUCGCUUGACUCUGCACCUUGAAGAUAUGACUUUCUCUUCCAGCCUUGGUGCUGCCCACAGGGUGGAUUAUGACAUACUGCUAAGCCCUGCACUCAGGUUGGAUUGUGACAUACACUUUAG